rnacentral:lncRNA from 1 species
AAACCACAUAUGCAUACAACAGUGUGCAACCAUGUGAUUGAGUGACUGUCGAUACUCACAUGUAUCCCUGGGUCACUCUUGGUUCAUAACCAGCUGUGUGUGUACAUGGGACAUGGUGUUACCCUCCACGCAGGAAAUCUGUGUAAACCUGUGUAUGAGAUUUAAUCAGCAUGCAUGUGUGUAUGAUUAUUUUGUUUUCUGAGACAGGGUCUUACUACAUGGUCCAGGCUGGCCUUAAACUCCCUUAGUAGCCCAGUCUGGCUUCAAACUCUUGAUCCUUCUGCCUUAGCCUGCCAAGUGCUGGAAUUACAGGCAUGUACCACUAGGCCUGCCUUGGAAUGUGUGUGAUUUUGACAUGGGGCAGGUGUUCCUGGAAAAAUAGGUGUGUUCAGGCCUAUGACUGGAGAACAAUCAUGUGUUGACAAACUCCAGUUAGCCCUUAAGCCAUGUCCAGUGGGAAGGAAAUGUGUAAAUGUGUUUGUUAAACAUGAAACAGAACAGCGACAAAAUGCCAUGCCCUGCAGUGGCAGCAGCAAGUGGAAGAUGUUCUCUCUCUCUCUCUCUCUCUCUGCAGCAUCCCUCUCUGGCGCUGUUCCCUCACACCUAAGCCCAAUGGUGUUUUGCAGUCUUUCAGCUGUUACCUCAGUCCCUCCUCGCCUCAUUCCCGAUUCACUCCGUUGCUAUAGUCCUUGCUGUCCCCUUUUCUAGGCAGUCAGAGGACUGAUCACUCCAGUACAGCUGUGUCCACAAGGAAGUCCAUGUGGGCCACUCAGAAUCAGUAGGAGGUAAGUGCCGUAUGGGCAUAACAGGCAAAGAUACUGUUAUGGCUUGUGGCCAGAUGGGAUCAAGGGUGUGUGAUUACUAAAUUAGUCCACAGAUUGCUUUGGAAUAGUUCUAGGACUGGAUAAUGAAAAGGCCUUCCCUGGGUAUGAUGGCUACCUGAUCUAAGGGCCGGCAGCCUGAAUAGAAUAUAAGGGACAGAAAGAGGGUCACUGUUGUCACUUGCUGUUUCACUACUUCACUGAUUACUGCCUUGCUGCCUUCUGCCUGCCAUGAACUGUUUCUCUUCCACCAUGCCACCUUGCCUUGGAGCCAGCUAUU